UAGCAUAUCAAUAAGCGGAGGAAAAGAAACCAACAGGGAUUGCCCCCAGUAACGGCGAGUGAAGCGGCAACAGCUCAAAUUUGAAAUCUGGCCCCCAGGGCCCGAGUUGUAAUUUGUAGAGGAUGCUUUUGGCGCGGCGCCUUCCGAGUUCCCUGGAACGGGACGCCAUAGAGGGUGAGAGCCCCGUCUGGUUGGACGCCUAGCCUAUGUAAAGCUCCUUCGACGAGUCGAGUAGUUUGGGAAUGCUGCUCUAAAUGGGAGGUAUAUGUCUUCUAAAGCUAAAUACCGGCCAGAGACCGAUAGCGCACAAGUAGAGUGAUCGAAAGAUGAAAAGCACUUUGAAAAGAGGGUUAAAUAGUACGUGAAAUUGUUGAAAGGGAAGCGUUUGUGACCAGACUUGGGCCCGGUUGAUCAUCCACCGUUCUCGGUGGUGCACUCUGCCGGCCCAGGCCAGCAUCAGUUCGCGCCGGGGGAUAAAGGUUUCGGGAACGUGGCUCCUCCGGGAGUGUUAUAGCCCGUUGCGUAAUACCCUGGUGCGGACUGAGGUUCGCGCUCCGCAAGGAUGCUGGCGUAAUGGUCAUCAGCGACCCGUCUUGAAACACGGACCAAGGAGUCGUCUUCGUAUGCGAGUGUUCGGGUGUCAAACCCCUACGCGUAAUGAAAGUGAACGCAGGUGAGAGCUUCGGCGCAUCAUCGACCGAUCCUGAUGUUCUCGGAUGGAUUUGAGUAAGAGCAUACGGGGCCGGACCCGAAAGAAGGUGAACUAUGCCUGUAUAGGGUGAAGCCAGAGGAAUACUCUGGUGGAGGCUCGCAGCGGCUCUGACGUGCAAAUCGAUCGUCAAAUAUGGGCAUGGGGGCGAAAGACUAAUCG
rnacentral:rRNA from 2 species